rnacentral:rRNA from 1 species
UUCCAGACUCCUACGGGAGGCAGCAGUGGGGGAUAUUGCACAAUGGGGGAAACCCUGAUGCAGCGACGCCGCGUGGGUGAAGAAGCGCCUCGGCGCGUAAAGCCCUGUCAGCAGGGAAGAAAAUGACGGUACCUGAAGAAGAAGCCCCGGCUAACUACGUGCCAGCAGCCGCGGUAAUACGUAGGGGGCAAGCGUUAUCCGGAUUUACUGGGUGUAAAGGGCGCGUAGGCGGGAUGGCAAGUCAGAUGUGAAAUCCAGGGGCUCAACCCCUGAACUGCAUUUGAAACUGUCGUUCUUGAGUACUGGAGAGGUUGACGGAAUUCCUAGUGUAGCGGUGAAAUGCGUAGAUAUUAGGAGGAGCACCAGUGGCGAAGGCGGUCAACUGGACAGCAACUGACGCUGAGGCGCGAAAGCGUGGGGAGCAAACAGGAUUAGAUACCCUAGUA